GUCACGGCUAACUACGUGCCAGCAGCCGCGGUAAUACGUAGGUGGCAAGCGUUAUCCGGAUUUAUUGGGCGUAAAGAGAGUGCAGGCGGUUUUCUAAGUCUGAUGUGAAAGCCUUCGGCUUAACCGGAGAAGUGCAUCGGAAACUGGAUAACUUGAGUGCAGAAGAGGGUAGUGGAACUCCAUGUGUAGCGGUGGAAUGCGUAGAUAUAUGGAAGAACACCAGUGGCGAAGGCGGCUACCUGGUCUGCAACUGACGCUGAGACUCGAAAGCAUGGGUAGCGAACAGGAUUAGAUACCCUGGUAG
rnacentral:rRNA from 1 species